UGCCAGCCGCCGCGGUAAUACGAACUGUGCGAACGUUAUUCGGAAUCACUGGGCUUAAAGGGUGCGUAGGCGGAUUGGUAGGUCAGGUGUGAAAUCCCACGGCUCAACCGUGGAACUGCGCUUGAAACCACUAAUCUUGAGGGAGUCAGAGGUAAGCGGAACUGAUGGUGGAGCGGUGAAAUGCGUUGAUAUCAUCAGGAACACCGGUGGCGAAAGCGGCUUACUGGGACUCUUCUGACGCUGAGGCACGAAAGCCAGGGGAGCGAACGGGAUUAGAUA
rnacentral:rRNA from 1 species